CCUACACACCUGCCGCCCAUUAACUCAUCAUCCUGCAAUACUUCAACCCGGCUUUCCAACCACUCCUCGUCAGAUCGUUGUCACAGCUACUGUGGAUCGUCAUCCGUGUACCCAGUACCUGUCUGCCUGCCGACCCGCUGGUUCACAACUCAAGACUACAACUCAAGACUACACCCCAAUAAAUCACCUCAUUGUA